rnacentral:rRNA from 1 species
GCUGCUCCUAGUACGAGAGGACCGGAGUGGACGCAUCACUGGUGUUCGGGUUGUCAUGCCAAUGGCACUGCCCGGUAGCUACAUGCGGAAGAGAUAAGUGCUGAAAGCAUCUAAGCACGAAACUUGCCCCGAGAUGAAUCUUCCCUGAGCCUUUAAGGCUCCUGAAGGAACGUUGAAGACGACGACGUUGAUAGGCCGGGUGUGUAAGCGCAGCGAUGCGUUGAGCUAACCGGUACUAAUGAACCGUGAGGCUUAACCUUACAACGCCAAAG